UAAUUGGUAAAGAAGCUGCAGUCACUUGU
rnacentral:piRNA from 2 species